ensembl:lncRNA
GCUUCAACUUCCUGACUGAUGUCUUGAGAUGUUGCUUCAAUAUAUCCACGUAAUUUUCCUUUCUCAUGAAGCCAUCUAUUCUGUGAAGUGCACCAGUCCCUCCUGCAGCAAAUCACCCCCACAACAUGCUACCACCUCCAUGCUUCACGGUUGGGAUGGUGUUCUUCGGCUUGCAAGCCUCCCCCUUUUCCUCCAAACAUAACAAUGGUCAUUAUGGCCAAACAGUUCUAUUUUUGUUUCAUCAGACCAGAGGACAUUUCUCCAAAAAGUAUGUUAUUUGUCCCCAUGUGCAGUUGCAAACCUUAGUUUUUUUUAUGGCAGUUUUGGAGCAGUAGCUGCUGAGCCGCCUUUCAGGUUAUGUUGAUAUAGGACUCGUUUUACUGUGUGUAUAUAAAUACUCUUGUACUUGUUUCCUCCAGCAUCUUCACAAGGUCCUUUGCUGUUGUUCUGGGAUUGAUUUGCACUUUUCUCACCAAAGUACUUUCAUCUUUAGGAGACAGAACGCUUCUCCUUCCUGAGCGGUAUGUCAGCAGCGUGGUCCCAUGGUGUUUAUACUUGCGUACUAUUGUUUGUCCAGAUGAACAUGGUAACUUCAGGCAUUUGGAAAUUGCCAGACUUGUGGAGGUCUACAAUUUUUUUCUGAGGCCUUGGCUGAUUUAUUUUGAUUUCCCCAUGAUGUCAAGCACAGAGGCACUGAGUUUGAAUGUAGGCCUUGAAAUACAUCCACAGGUACACUUCUAAUUGUCUCAAAUGAUGUUAAUUAGCCUAUCAGAAGCUUCUAAAGCCAUGACAUAAUGUUCGGUUAUUUUCCAAGCUGUUUAAAGGCACAGUCAACUUAGGUUUUGUAAACUUCUGACCCAUUGGAAUUAUGAUACAAUGAAUUAUAAGUGAAAUAAUCUGUCUGUUAACUUCUUGAUGCACCCAUCCCGUUAGCGGGAUCAUUUUCGUCAACAUCCGCUAUAUUGCAGAGUGCCAAAUUCAAAUUAAAUUACUAAAAAUACUUCAUUUUCAUGAAAUCACAAGUGCAAUAUAGCAAAACACAGCUUAGCUUGUUGUUAAUCCACCUGGCAUGUCAUAUUUCAAAAAAGCUUUUCGGCGAAAGCAUACCAAGUGUUUAUGUAAGGACAACUCUCUCAGUAGACAAAAUAUUACAAACAGCUAGUAGCCAAGUAGAUUGGUCACGAAAGUCAGAAAAGCAAUAAAAUGAAUCGCUUACUUUUGAUGAUCUUCAGAUGUUUGCACUCACGAGACUCCCAGUUACACAAUAAAUGUUCCUUUAAGUUCCAUAAAGAUUAUUUUUAUAUCCAAAAUACCUCCAUUUGGUUGGUGCGUCAGAAAUCCACAGGCUCAAGCGGUCAAGUCCGGGCAGACGAAAAUUCCAAAUAGUAUCCGUAAAGUUCGUAGAAACAUGUCAAACGUUUUUUAUAAUCAAUCCUCAGGUUGCUUUUACAAUAUAUAAUCGAUAAUAUUUCAACCGGGACUUUAGCUUCUUCAAUAGGAGAGAGAGAGAAAAUGUCUGCUCCAAGCUGUUGCGCAUGCAAAACGCUGCUGGCACCCAGCCAUCCAUAUGACGUGAUGUGAUCUUUCUCACUCAUUUUUCAAAAUAAAAGCCUGAAACUAUGUCUAAAGACUGUUCACACCAUGGGGAAGCCAUAGGAAAAGGAAUCUGGUUGAUAUCCCUUUAAAUGGAGCGAAGGCAGGCUAUGGAACAGAGAGGUUUCAGGAAAAACAGCACUUCCGGGUUGGAUUUUCCUCAGGUUUUCGCCUGUAAUAUCAGUUCUGUUAUACUCACAGACAAUAUUUUUGACAGUUUUGGAAACUUUAGUGUUUUCUAUACUAAUCUGACAAUUAUAUGCAUAUUCAGAUUCUGGGCCUGAGAAAUAGGCAGUUUCAUUUGGGUACAUUUUUCAUCCAAACAUCAAAAUACUGCCCCCUACACUCAACAGGUUAACAGUUGUUGGAAAAAUAACUUGUGUCAUGCACAAAGUAGAUGUCCUAACCGACUUGCCAAAACUAUAGUUUGUUAACAAGAAAUUUGUGGUGGUUGAAAAAUGAGUUUUAAUGACUCCAACCUCAGUGUAUGUAAACUUCCGACUUCAACUGUAUGUGGGAACUCCUUCAAGACUGUUGGAAAAGCAUUCCAGCUUCACCACCCGGACCUGGGUGAAGCUAGCCGUGCUACCCAGCUCCAACCCUCCACCCCACAGGAUCUACCACUGCUGUGCUGGCCUAGGCCCCAGCUACCAGCCUGUCAUGACCACCAGCAUCACCAUCAGAAACAGUCUGGACAGCAAUCUACAGUCAUUCAAAAACAAAUGCUUCCCUUCCUCCUCAGAGUUAGAGGGCACUAUAGAGCCGGAGACGUUAAGUAGCUCAGAGAAGCUAUUGACUGAACUGGGGGACUAUUGUAAUGGUCUAAGUGGGAACUAUGCUUAGCGCUUUGGGAACUGUCUGACUUUUUAAAAUAAUUUUCAUACUUUUUUCAUCAAACCCACAACCGUGGCGCUGCUAGUGUAAUAUAUAAUUAAAUAUUCACUAUUAGCAAUUACUGAUUUUAUUUUCAAUACAAUUCAACAAAUUAUUGUAUUUCUGUUUUGCUAUAUAUUUACAUGCAUUUCAUUUGUAAAAGCUGUCAAAAGGGUGGAGGGAACGAAAUGUACUCUUGAGGACUCCAUGGUGUUGGGAAGGCUUUCAAUGCAGGCUGCAGAGUUUGCUUCCCACCAGCAGGAUCCGUGGAGGUUACGUGCAAAGUUUUUUAUAGUAAUGGUGAUCAAUGUCAUGCUAAAGUGGAGGGAAAGUCCAUGAAGAUGGACAUUAUUGUGGAUGCGGCAGAGUGGUUCCUGGGGCUAAAAUAUUUCUCAAGAAAGGGAUUACAUGAGGCUCUGUCACAAGCAGUGAUACCCUCUCAGGCCCCAGAGUGUGGGGAGGGAGCUAUUGAAGAAAUGAGGGAGUGUGAUAUAGGUUUUGUUAAGUCAUUUUUUUGUAUGGCAUUUCCUGUUUUACCUUAAGGAGUUUCCUUUUCCCCCCCUGUACAGAUGGUGGCACCAUAAAUAUAGUAUGACGACCGCCAUUAAACUUCACCGACGAAGAAGUUCACAAAAGAUCAUGAACAGUCAAAAUCAUGUUUGUCUUGAAAUUGGAUAAUAUUUGGAUGAAACCAGAUAAAGUUUAUUCAUAAAGUUACUGAUCCCGUCCCCCAUGUCAAACACUUGGAUUCUGAAGGUGGGAUUUUUAAGGGGAUAGGGUAACAUCACACUAACUCCUAUUUUAAUACACUAUUGGUAACAUGAUAUUAUAUUACCUAGCUUAAAUAAGUAACGCCUUGUAAGCAACAUCAGAGAAGGUGUGUUUGCAGAGGGGUCGUAGUUUAUAAAGCUAGAUAGCUACUCUACUGGUGCCAAAAUUGGACUGUAUGGUGUCAGCAAAUGUAAUUAAAAGUUGACACUUCACCUAUGGCAAUGAUACUUGUAUGUUUCCCCUUUCAUUUGUGUCUGGUGUUAACUAGUUAAUUGCUAGCUAGAUCUUCAUCUGUGUCUGGUGUUAACUAGUUAAUGGCUAGCUAGAUCUUCAUCUGUGUCUGGUGUUAACUAGUUAAUGGCUAGCUAGGUCUUCAUCUGUGUCUGGUGUUAACUAGUUAAUGGCUAGCUAGGUCUUCAUCUGUGUCUGGUGUUAACUAGUUAAUGGCUAGCUAGGUCUUCAUCUGUGUCUGGUAUUAGCUAGUUAAUGGCUAGCUAGAUCUUCAGCCAGCAUGGAACAAACGGGUUGUUGAAAACUCUGACGCAGUUGUCAUGUCAACACAUCUGUCAGUGCUGCUGUGAACUGCGUCAAUAAAAGACAUGCCAAAAGGGAGAUGUGUAUAUAUAGAUUUUCCGUAAUUGAUGCAAUUUCAAUGUUUGUUGCUUUGCUUAUUUCCAAUUUGUUUUUAUACGUUUUUACUGAAACACUGUCAGUCAAGGCGAGCUCAUGAUUAUUAGCUCCCCGCUCACUUAGCC